AUGUAGCUCAGUUGUAGAGCUCCUGCUUUGCAUGCUUGAAGUUCUGGGUUAGAUUCCUGGCAU
rnacentral:tRNA from 1 species